rnacentral:lncRNA from 1 species
UCCACAGCAGCUGCAGGUUGCUGGGUAGGCCCUGUAGACAGACAAACAUGCCCAUCGGAAGUUAAAUACUCCAAACCCUGUAUAGGAGACUCCAUACAGAAUAUAUGCAGCAAGAGGUAAUUUGACACAAAAUUCAAAAACUGCAGUUGCCCUUGUUUGCUUGCACAUGAAUGACAAUUACCCCCCAUCAAAAUCAGAGUGAUGAACGGAACUGUGUAGAUACCUGUAGUCACAGCUAUCACCUCCCAAGCAGAAAAAGCAUGCCCGGGAGUCGAACUCAGGUCGGAACUAGGAUACUUGCCUAAAACCAACCCAUUCUAUCGUGACUUCCCCAGCUGGGAACAUCUCACCAUUCCAAAGUCUUAGUUCCGUGUAUCAGCUAGUAACCAACAUACUUCCUCAACGGCUUCUUCCUGUUUAAAGCUGGGUAGUUGCCUUAAUCAACCUGUUACAUCAUGAUUUCCCCCAGAGAACAACUCACCAGUGGUCACUAUUCACGUGUCAUGCCCUGUGAUAUGAGCCAGUAGCCAACAUAUGCCUCCAUCCUCAAUGGCUUCCAAACCGGCACCCAUAUCUCAGGCAGAGCGGCAUCAUGCUUAU